rnacentral:rRNA from 1 species
UACGAAGGGGGCUAGCGUUGUUCGGAAUUACUGGGCGUAAAGCGCACGUAGGCGGAUCGAUCAGUCAGGGGUGAAAUCCCAGAGCUCAACUCUGGAACUGCCUUUGAUACUGUCGGUCUAGAGUAUGGAAGAGGUGAGUGGAAUUCCGGAGUGUAGAGGUGAAAUUCGUAGAUAUUCGGAGGAACACCAGUGGCGAAGGCGGCUCACUGGUCCAUUACUGACGCUGAGGUGCGAAAGCGUGGGGAGCAACAGG